rnacentral:rRNA from 1 species
UUAAAGGGUCCGUAGGCGAGCAGUUAAGUCAGUGGUGAAAGUCUUCCGCUCAACGGGAGAACUGCCAUUGAUACUGAUUGUCUUGAGUUAUUAUGAAGUGGUUAGAAUGAGUAGUGUAGCGGUGAAAUGCAUAGAUAUUACUCAGAAUACCGAUUGCGAAGGCAGAUCACUAAUAAUAUACUGACGCUGAUGGACGAAAGCGUAGGUAGCGAACAGGAUUAGAUACCCUGGUAGUCUACGCCGUAAACGAUGGUUACUAGCUGUUCGGCCCAAUUGAGGGCUGAGUGGUUAAGCGAAAGUGAUAAGUAACCCACCUGGGGAGUACGUUCGCAAGAAUGAAACUCAAAGGAAUUGACGGGGGCCCGCACAAGCGGUGGAGCAUGUGGUUUAAUUCGAUGAUACGCGAGGAACCUUACCAGGGCUUAAAUGUAGUCUGACAGGUCUGGAAACAGGCUUUUCUUCGGACAGAUUACAAGGUGCUGCAUGGUUGUCGUCAGCUCGUGCCGUGAGGUGUCAGGUUAAGUCCUAUAACGAGCGCAACCCCUGUGGUUAGUUGCCAGCGAGUAAAGUCGGGAACUCUAGCCAGACUGCCGGUGCAAACCGCGAGGAAGGUGGGGAUGACGUCAAAUCAUCACGGCCCUUACGUCCUGGGCCACACACGUGCUACAAUGGUAGGGACAGAGAGCAGCCACUUCGCGAGAAGGAGCGAAUCUACAAACCCUAUCACAGUUCGGAUCGCAGUCUGCAACUCGACUGCGUGAAGCUGGAAUCGCUAGUAAUCGCAUAUCAGCCAUGAUGCGGUGAUUACGUUCCCGGGCCUUGUACACACCCCCCGUCAAGCCAUCGAAUACCGGGGGUUCCUGAAUUAGUCAGUCGCAACAAGGUAACCACUAGAGGU